rnacentral:rRNA from 1 species
CUUGACCUCAAAUCGAGUAGGACUACCCGCUGAACUUAAGCAUAUCAAUAAGCGGAGGAAAAGAAACUAACAAGGAUUCCCCUAGUAACGGCGAGUGAAGAGGGAAGAGCUCAAAUUUUGAAUCUGGCACCUUUGGUGUCCGAAUUGUAAUCUAGAGAAGUGUUUUCCGUGGCGGACCGUGCAUAAGUCUCCUGGAAUGGAGCGUCAUAGAGGGUGAGAAUCCCGUAUAUGGCAUGGACUCCCGUUGCUCUGUGAUACACUCUCGACGAGUCGAGUUGUUUGGGAAUGCAGCUCUAAAUGGGUGGUAAAUGCCAUCUAAAGCUAAAUAUUGGCGAGAGACCGAUAGCGAACAAGUACCGUGAGGGAAAGAUGAAAAGCACUUUGGAAAGAGAGUGAAACAGUACGUGAAAUUGUUGAAAGGGAAACGCUUGAAGUCAGUCGCGCCGUUCGGGAUUCAGCCUUGCUUCUGCUCGGUUUACUUCCCGUUGGGUGGGUCAACAUCAGUUUCGGUCGGAGGAGAAAGACUUGGGGAAGGUAGCAGCAUUCGUGCUGUGUUAUAGCUCCUUGUUGUAUACUUCGACUGGGACUGAGGAUCGCAGCACGCCUUUGGCCGGGGUUCGCCCACGUACGUGCUUAGGAUGUUGGCAUAAUGGCUUUAAGCGACCCGUCUUGAAACACGGACC